ensembl:snRNA U6 U6 spliceosomal RNA
AUGCUUGCUUCAACAGCACAUAUACUGAAAUAGGACCAAUACAGAGAAGAUUAGCAUGGCCCCUGCACAAGGAUGAUGCGCAAAUUUGUGAAGCAAUCGUAUUUUUU